AUGCACGCUGGCGGCGUGCCUAAUCCAUGCAAGUCGAGCGAACAGACGAGGAGCUUGCUCCUCUGACGUUAGCGGCGGACGGGUGAGUAACACGUGGAUAACCUACCUAUAAGACUGGGAUAACUUCGGGAAACCGGAGCUAAUACCGGAUAAUAUAUUGAACCGCAUGGUUCAAUAGUGAAAGACGGUUUUGCUGUCACUUAUAGAUGGAUCCGCGCCGCAUUAGCUAGUUGGUAAGGUAACGGCUUACCAAGGCAACGAUGCGUAGCCGACCUGAGAGGGUGAUCGGCCACACUGGAACUGAGACACGGUCCAGACUCCUACGGGAGGCAGCAGUAGGGAAUCUUCCGCAAUGGGCGAAAGCCUGACGGAGCAACGCCGCGUGAGUGAUGAAGGUCUUCGGAUCGUAAAACUCUGUUAUUAGGGAAGAACAAAUGUGUAAGUAACUAUGCACGUCUUGACGGUACCUAAUCAGAAAGCCACGGCUAACUACGUG
rnacentral:rRNA from 1 species